rnacentral:rRNA from 1 species
CCUACGGGAGGCAGCAGUAAGGAAUAUUGGUCAAUGGACGCAAGUCUGAACCAGCCAUGCCGCGUGAAGGAUUAAGGCCCUCUGGGUUGUAAACUUCUUUUAUAGGGGACGAAAAAAGGGCAUUCUUGCUCACUUGACGGUACCCUAGGAAUAAGCACCGGCUAACUCCGUGCCAGCAGCCGCGGUAAUACGGAGGGUGCAAGCGUUAUCCGGAUUUACUGGGUUUAAAGGGUGCGUAGGUGGGUUGGUAAGUCAGUGGUGAAAUCUUCGAGCUUAACUCGGAAACUGCCAUUGAUACUAUCAAUCUUGAAUCAUCUAGAGGUAAGCGGAAUAUGUCAUGUAGCGGUGAAAUGCUUAGAUAUGACAUAGAACACCAAUUGCGAAGGCAGCUUACUAUGGAUGCAUUGACACUGAGGCACGAAAGCGUGGGGAUCAAACAGGAUUAGAUACCCUGGUAGUCCACGACCAACCGAUGAUACUCGACAUUGUGUAUAUACAAUAAGUAGUCUGAGNGAAGACGAUUAAGUAUACCACCGUCGGGUAAGGUACGUACCGCGAGUUAGUUAAACGUUACGAAUUAGAGUUAGACGGCGUUGAGACGNGCCGACGGACGACGACGAGGGGAGGUUAGGAGG